CGAGCUGGUCAUUCCUGAUUACAUCUUAUUGUCAGUUUCAUAAAGUCUUCAGUUAAAGGCUCCCUUCAGGUACUGGUGAUUGGAACCAAAAUUCUGAUGUUCAGAGUGAUCAAAACCAGCUGAAGAGACUGAGUCAUAGGAAGUUAAAUAAUUUACCCAAGGUCACAGAUGGAACGUGUGUUCAUCUCUGCCGCGGUAAAGCAAUGUGAACCUCACGGGAUUUUUAAGAACCGGUCACCUCUUUUCUUGCUUGUAGCCGUC